rnacentral:rRNA from 1 species
GGCGGGUGCUUACCAUGCAGUCGAACGGUGAAGCCCAGCUUGCUGGGUGGAUCAGUGGCGAACGGGUGAGUAACACGUGAGCAAUCUGCCCCUGACUCUGGGAUAAGCGCUGGAAACGGCGUCUAAUACUGGAUACGAACCGUGGAGGCAUCUUCAACGGUUGGAAAGAUUUUUUGGUCAGGGAUGAGCUCGCGGCCUAUCAGCUUGUUGGUGAGGUAAUGGCUCACCAAGGCGUCGACGGGUAGCCGGCCUGAGAGGGUGACCGGCCACACUGGGACUGAGACACGGCCCAGACUCCUACGGGAGGCAGCAGUGGGGAAUAUUGCACAAUGGGCGAAAGCCUGAUGCAGCAACGCCGCGUGAGGGAUGACGGCCUUCGGGUUGUAAACCUCUUUUAGCAGGGAAGAAGCGAAAGUGACGGUACCUGCAGAAAAAGCGCCGGCUAACUACGUGCCAGCAGCCGCGGUAAUACGUAGGGCGCAAGCGUUAUCCGGAAUUAUUGGGCGUAAAGAGCUCGUAGGCGGUUUGUCGCGUCUGCUGUGAAAUCCCGAGGCUCAACUUCGGGUCUGCAGUGGGUACGGGCAGACUAGAGUGCGGUAGGGGAGAUUGGAAUUCCUGGUGUAGCGGUGGAAUGCGCAGAUAUCAGGAGGAACACCGAUGGCGAAGGCAGAUCUCUGGGCCGUAACUGACGCUGAGGAGCGAAAGGGUGGGGAGCAAACAGGCUUAGAUACCCUGGUAGUCCACCCCGUAAACGUUGGGAACUAGUUGUGGGGUCCAUUCCACGGAUUCCGUGACGCAGCUAACGCAUUAAGUUCCCCGCCUGGGGAGUACGGCCGCAAGGCUAAAACUCAAAGGAAUUGACGGGGACCCGCACAAGCGGCGGAGCAUGCGGAUUAAUUCGAUGCAACGCGAAGAACCUUACCAAGGCUUGACAUAUACGAGAACGCUGCAGAAAUGUAGAACUCUUUGGACACUCGUAAACAGGUGGUGCAUGGGUUGUCGUCAGCUCGUGUCGUGAGAUGUUGGGUUAAGUCCCGCAACGAGCGCAACCCUCGUUCUAUGUUGCCAGCACGUAAUGGUGGGAACUCAUGGGAUACUGCCGGGGUCAACUCGGAGGAAGGUGGGGAUGACGUCAAAUCAUCAUGCC